AGAACUAAUAUUCCGAUAGGUGGAAUGAGGGAGUAACGCUCCGAAACGCCUACCUUACAAACUGCGAUAUGCUUCAGUCUUAUGUAACAAAGAUUGUAGUAUAACGCUCGCCAAAGUCGGCGGAAAUACGCCCAAACAGGUAAAGCUGUGGAAAGUGCGCCAGAGGUGGUGUAUGUGUAUGAUACGCCGGAGGUCUAUAAA
rnacentral:ncRNA from 1 species